GGAAUCUAAAUAACUUUCUCUGAUUCAACAUGUUUUGUGUGUUCGUGUAUUUCUUCCAGAAGUGGAGACGAUAUUCCCAGGAUAUCUGGGAAGGAGUGAGAAAACUCCUUCCGUUUCAGAGUUUGCGAGGAUAUUCGGUGGAGAUGUGGGAAAAGAUCGUAAACCUUCUUUCCAUUCUGAUUUUCCAGAUUGGUGCUGUCAAUGAAGGACUGAUGGAUUCAGUUCGCGAUGUCUUGGUCGUCACGAUUGCCAUCUUCUCAUUCGUUGCAAUCAUUCAUUUUAAACCAUUGCGCUGGUUCAACAAAAAGAGAAUCAAAAAAAAGUGCUCCUUCCACUGUUUUCGUCGUUGCCGGAAACAUCAACAGAAGAAAAAUGGAGAUGAAGAGCAGCUGCUGCUCAAGGAGCUGCAAGAAAACGAACGAUUGGAAAUGCAGAAAGCAAAGGAAGAAGAGGCUCUGAGAAUUGUAGAAAAACUGCAGCAAGAAAGUGAACAUAUGCACCAAAAAGAAGAAAGUGUAAAAGAAAGAGAGCUGUUAGUUCAGCUCAGAGAGAAAGAGGUGUUGGAAAAAGGUGCAAAACAAAAAUAUGAGGAAGAGUUAUGGAUCAAAAAGAAAGAAAAGUUUGAGAAAAUCAUGGAAGAACAGCAGAGUAAAAGCAAUAAAGACGACAUGAGAAAAAUAAAUGAGGAAGAGCAGAUCAGAAAGCGUGAAAAAGAGCUAAGGAAAAGAGAAGAGAAUGUUUACAAAAUGGAGAACAAGAUGCGCCAAAAAGAAGAGCAUUUAAAACAAAAAAUGCAAAUAAUUAACACAAUAGAGGAAGAGCUAUUAUGUAAACAGCGAGAAGCAGAUCAACGAGAACAAGAGAUUUGUGAUCGAGAAAAUAAGGUGUUUCGAUGUGAACAAAAGGUCUUGCAAGGUGAGAUGAAGGAUAAAAAGCGUAUGGAGCAGGAAGAACAGAUACAGCAAGAGCAGGAAGAAGAGAUACAGAGAAAGCAGGAAGACCAGAUGCAGAGUAAACAGGAGGAACAGAUUCAGGGUAAACAGGAAGUACAGACACGGAGUAAACAGGAAGAGCAGAUUCAGAGUAAACAGGAAGACCAGAUGCAGAGUAAACAGGAGGAACAGAUUCAGGGUAAACAGGAAGAACAGAUUCAGGGUAAACAGGAAGAACAGAUUCAGGGUAAACAGGAAGAACAGAUUCAGGGUAAACAGGGAGAACAGAUUCAGAGUAAACAGGAAGACCAGAUGCAGAGUAAACAGGAGGAACAGAUUCAGGGUAAACAGGAAGAACAGAUUCAGGGUAAACAGGAAGAACAGAUACAGAGUAAACAGGAAGAACAGAUACGGAAAGAACAGACACAGAGUAAACAGGAAGAACAGACACGGAGUAAACAGGAAGAACAGAUAUGGAAAGAACAGACACGGGGUAAACAGGAAGAACAGAUAUGGAAAGAACAGACACGGGGUAAACAGGAAGAACAGAUACUGAAAGAACAGACACGGGGUAAACAGGAAGAACAGAUACGGAAAGAACAGACACGGGGUAAACAGGAAGAACAGAUACGGAAAGAACGGGCAGAACAGAACCAGAGAGAUGACGAAGAAGGGAAUAGACUUCUGUGCACAUUGUUUUCACAGAAUGAAAGAGUAGUGACAUACAAAAGUGCGAGAAAUGAAGAGAAACCCCACGGUGGUGACAGGCAAUACUAUCAGCAACAGAGGCCUCACUAUGAGCACAGGAAUCAGUGGCAGCAACAAAACAAACCCCAUGGUGGUGACAGGCGAUACCAUCAGCAACAGAGGCCUUACCAUGAUGACAGGAAUCAAUGGCAGCAACAAAACAAAUUCCAUGGUGGUGUCAGUCAUUACUAUCAGGAACAGAGGCCUUACCAUGAGAACAGAAAUCAGUGGCAGCAGCAACAAAAACCCCAUGGUGGUGACAAGCGAUACCAUCAGCAACAGAAUCCUCACCAUGGGUCCAGAAUGCAGCGGUUUUGA
ensembl:lincRNA